AGUGAACGCUGGCGGUAGGCCUAACACAUGCAAGUCGAACGGCAGCACAGGAGAGCUUGCUCUCUGGGUGGCGAGUGGCGGACGGGUGAGGAAUACAUCGGAAUCUACCUUUUCGUGGGGGAUAACGUAGGGAAACUUACGCUAAUACCGCAUACGACCUACGGGUGAAAGUGGGGGACCGCAAGGCCUCACGCGAUUAGAUGAGCCGAUGUCCGAUUAGCUAGUUGGCGGGGUAAUGGCCCACCAAGGCGACGAUCGGUAGCUGGUCUGAGAGGAUGAUCAGCCACACUGGAACUGAGACACGGUCCAGACUCCUACGGGAGGCAGCAGUGGGGAAUAUUGGACAAUGGGCGCAAGCCUGAUCCAGCCACACCGCGUGGGUGAAGAAGGCCUUCGGGUUGUAAAGCCCUUUUGUUGGGAAAGAAAUCCUGUCGAUUAAUACUCAGUGGGGAUGACGGUACCCAAAGAAUAAGCACCGGCUAACUUCGUGCCAGCAGCCGCCGUAAUAC
rnacentral:rRNA from 1 species